UUGAACCUCCAGUUUUUUUCUUACUUAAAAAGUAGAGGUUAGGCAAAUUGACUUAGAUGGAUACAAGCUGCAAUUCUCUUGACAGUUUUAGCAGUUCCAACAUCAAACUGGCACAGGUUGCGUUUGCUUAUCCAAGAAACCGGAAUCCUACGUGCCACCGGCCGAUCUCCUUUCGAGGAAACUGCAGCAGUUGAUUUGAUGUUGGACAAUGACAUGGAGCUUCAAGAACUAAUUGCCAGACCUUUUGUGAACCAUUCUGACCAGCUAGUAGGCUAUUAUUGCCCUCGCCUUUUUGUCUUAUUAUUUGUAAAUAAGACCAUCUUUAAUGCCUGACAAUUUCAUUGUAAGAGAUGACAUGCAAAAGAGCCACAGUAUAUAUGACAUUUGGGAACUUCUCCUUUUGAGGCCGCCUUUAAAAUUGCUCGACUGUAGAAGUAAUAUAGCGAGCUUAAAUUUCUAUUCCUAAAGCAUUUUUUAUUACAAUUGUUAGAAUCACAUUUAAAAGCUUAAA